UAAUACGUAGGGGGCGAGCGUUGUCCGGAAUUACUGGGCGUAAAGCGCGCGUAGGCGGGCAUUUAAGUCAGAUGUGAAACCUCUGGGCUUAACCUAGAGCAUGCAUCUGAUACUGGAUGUCUUGAGUGUAGAAGAGGAGAGUGGAAUUCCUAGUGUAGCGGUGAAAUGCGUAGAUAUUAGGAGGAACACCAGUGGCGAAGGCGACUCUCUGGUCUAUAACUGACGCUGAGGCGCGAAAGCGUGGGGAGCAAACAGGAUUAGAUACCCUGGUAGUCCACGCCGUAAACGAUGGGUACUAGGUGUUGGGGGUUUCGACGCCCUCAGUGCCGCAGUUAACACAUUAAGUACCCCGCCUGGGGAGUACGGUCGCAAGACUGAAACUCAAAGAAAUUGACGGGGGCCCGCACAAGCGGUGGAGCAUGUGGUUUAAUUCGACGCAACGCGAAGAACCUUACCAAGGCUUGACAUCCCUCUGACCGCUCCUUAAUCGGAGCUUUCCUUCGGGACAGAGGAGACAGGUGGUGCAUGGUUGUCGUCAGCUCGUGUCGUGAGAUGUUGGGUUAAGUCCCGCAACGAGCGCAACCCUUACUUCUAGUUGCCAUCAUUAAGUUGGGCACUCUAGAGGGACUGCCGGUGACAAACCGGAGGAAGGUGGGGAUGACGUCAAAUCAUCAUGCCCCUUAUGUCUUGGGCUACACACGUGCUACAAUGGGCAGUACAGAGGGUAGCGAAGCCGUGAGGCGGAGCCAAUCCCUUAAAGCUGCUCUCAGUUCGGAUUGCAGGCUGCAACUCGCCUGCAUGAAGUCGGAAUCGCUAGUAAUCGCAGGUCAGCACACUGCGGUGAAUACGUUCCCGGGCCUUGUACACACCGCCCGUCACACCACGAAAGUUGGUAACACCCGAAGCCGGUGGGACAACCCUUAUGGGAGUCAGCCGUCGAAGGUGGGAUCAAUGAUUGGGGUG
rnacentral:rRNA from 1 species